UAGGAAGUAGCAAAAAAAAAAAGUCGCUCCAAAAGUUUCCCACAAAAACACGUUCCUUCCCUCACACCCUCAACUCUUCAAGACUUCAACUGCUCAUAACUCUCAACUCACACUCUCUUCGGUUCACGGUGGUUCAACGAUGGCAUCAUUUUUAGUUUUUGCCGGUGAACUGGUGAUUUCCGACGAGAUAUCGGAUGUCUAUCAGGUGACGAGAUCAAUAAUGAGGGCCAAUUAAUUUUUUCAUAUAUCAAACUGCGAUGAUGGACCUAUAUCACGUUUCUCAGGUUUCUCGACAUUCUCAACCACCUCACUCACGUUUUUCAGCAUAUCGACGAUCGCAGAAAUUUGGCUUAAUUAUAGUGAGAUCAAGAGUUUAUCUCCGCGCUGCAUCAUAUCAGAGACAAAGCUGAACAAGAUAGCCGGAAAAAACGAUUUCUAGGAAUAAUGGGUCGUGACUAUUUUCCGAAAUUAGCAGAGGAAAGCUAUGAUAAGGGUUGGAUUAUGUGAACUUCAUCAUAGAUUAUCGGUACUGCUAAUUAGUUUUUUUUAGAUUUACUUUGAAUUAUUCAAGUUACAUCGGAUGUAAAAUUUGAAGAUUAUUUUGUUGUACUCCUAUUAUAUACAAUUUGUUAUUCCACGAA